rnacentral:lncRNA from 1 species
ACGGCCCUGCGGGUUCUCAGAGGCAAGUUCAGACCGUGUUGUUUUCUUUUCACGGAUCCUGCCCUUUCUUCCCGAAAAGAAGACAGCCUUGGGUCGCGAUUGUGGGGCUUCGAAGAGUCCAGCAGUGGGAAUUUGGAAUCGAGUGCAUUUUCUGACAUUUGAGUACAGUACCCAGGGGUUCUUGGAGAAGAACCUGGUCCCAGAGGAGCUUGACUGACCAUAAAAAUGAGUACUGCAGAUGCACUUGAUGAUGAAAACACAUUUAAAAUAUUAGUUGCAACAGAUAUUCAUCUUGGAUUUAUGGAGAAAGAUGCAGUCAGAGGAAAUGAUACGUUUGUAACACUCGAUGAAAUUUUAAGACUUGCCCAGGAAAAUGAAGUGGAUUUUAUUUUGUUAGGUGGUGAUCUUUUUCAUGAAAAUAAGCCCUCAAGGAAAACAUUACAUACCUGCCUCGAGUUAUUAAGAAAAUAUUGUAUGGGUGAUCGGCCUGUCCAGUUUGAAAUUCUCAGUGAUCAGUCAGUCAACUUUGGUUUUAGUAAGUUUCCAUGGGUGAACUAU